AUUGAACGCUGGCGGCAGGCCUAACACAUGCAAGUCGAGCGGAUGAAGGGAGCUUGCUCCUGGAUUCAGCGGCGGACGGGUGAGUAAUGCCUAGGAAUCUGCCUGGUAGUGGGGGAUAACGUCCGGAAACGGGCGCUAAUACCGCAUACGUCCUGAGGGAGAAAGUGGGGGAUCUUCGGACCUCACGCUAUCAGAUGAGCCUAGGUCGGAUUAGCUAGUUGGUGGGGUAAAGGCCUACCAAGGCGACGAUCCGUAACUGGUCUGAGAGGAUGAUCAGUCAAAAGGGAAAUAGAAAACGGGCAAGAUCCUCAGGGGAGGAAGCAGGGGGGAAUAUGGGAAAAGGGGGGAAAGCCGAAUCCAGCCAGGCCGGGGGGGGGAAGAAGGUUUUGGGAUUGGAAAGAAUUUUAAGUGGGGAGGAAGGGAAGUAAGUUAAAACCUUGCUGUUUGGACGUUACAAAAAAAAUAAGCACCGGCAAACUUCGU
rnacentral:rRNA from 1 species